GACGGCUCAAUAUGGACAGCGGGAGGGUGAGCAGGCUCGGAGGGUCCGUCAUCAUAGAGACCGAGGUCGAGCAGUGUCUGGUUUAGGAGCUGGACGCGCAUCUCACCUGGAAUGGAAACAGCCUCCUGGAGAUCAAUCGGACACCUUACCUUUCCAGUUAUAUGUUCCCGGAGCCCCAAACAAUAUGAAGUUGUUGUCUGGGGUGAAACUGACAGACAGGCCCUGCUGACAGAAGCCAAACUGCUCG